rnacentral:lncRNA from 1 species
CCCCCAUCUCCAUAAACAAAUUGGUUUACUUUUAUUAAUAAUGAAACAUUAGUAAACAUGACCAUCUUAAUAAAUAAAUAAACCAAAGUUUAGAGUAUAUAUCAUAAAGUUCAGGGUAUAUUAUAAUACUGAUCAUAUUCAAUUCCAUAUAGCAUAUUUUCAAGUUAAGUAAUUAUUUGUGUCAUCUACAACCACUGUGUAUGUGACCUUGCUGAGCCUGCUUGGUGAUGAUGUCUUUGAAUCAUUGCCUCUAGUUUUUCUGCGUUGAAAACCACUAGUAGAACCGUAUACUGCUCUGAACGCCAAUACUUUCCCCAAGUGACAGUUUUCAAGAUAUUGGGUGUUUGAUGGCAUUUGAAAACAAUCGUCCUUGGUGUUAUCUGAAAUCUCAGCAUUGACUUUCUUAGUAGCCAUUUUUUCUUUUUGUUGAAUAUUUGAGGACAUGAACUGGAACUUUGAGGAGGGAAGUAGAUGAUAGAUGACAUUAAUUUAUAUAGUUUGAAAGCCUAAAUUACUGGGGGAGUUAAAUUAUCUCUUACGAGUUUACUUUUGUGUUUGUAAGUAUUCAAUAUGUUUCUUCUCUUUUCUAUUUAUGUUGUAUAUGAUGAGAAAUCGGAAUAUGUUCGAAUAACCUCAUAUAAACUCUAUGUACUUUGUUGUUUGUAAUAAGGAACAAUAUAUAGAUGGCCUUUGUUAAGAAAUAUGGUAUAGCCAUAAAAGAGUUGAUAGUGUUUUGAUGGAAUAAGUCUUUCUACAU